AGAGUUUGAUCCUGGCUUAGGAUGAACGCUAGCGGCAGGCUUAACACAUGCAAGUCGAGGGGCAACGCGAGUAGCAAUACUUGGCGGCGACCGGCGCAAGGGUGCGUAACGCGUGAGCAACAUGCCCGUAUCAGGGGGAUAAUCCAGGGAAACUUGGUCUAAUACCCCAUAGUAAUUUUGUAAGGCAUCUUAUAAGAUUUAAAGCUUUGGUGGAUACGGAUUGGCUCGCGUGACAUUAGCUGGAUGGUAAGGUAACGGCUUACCAUGGCUAUGAUGUCUAGGGGUUCUGAGAGGAAGGUCCCCACACUGGAACUGAGACACGGUCCAGACUCCUACGGGAGGCAGCAGUGAGGAAUAUUGGACAAUGGAUGGAAAUCUGAUCCAGCCAUGCCGCGUAGAAGGAAGAAGGUCCUAUGGAUUGUAAACUUCUUUUGUAUGGGAGCAAUAAGGCCUACGAGUAGGUUGAUGAGAGUACCAUACGAAUAAGCACCGGCUAACUCCGUGCCAGCCGCAGC
rnacentral:rRNA from 1 species